GACGAACGCUGGCGGCGUGCUUAACACAUGCAAGUCGAACGGUGAAGCGCCUUCCUUUUUGGUGGGUGUGGAUGAGUGGCGAACGGGUGAGUAACACGUGAGUAACCUGCCCCCUUCUUCUGGAUAACCGCAUGAAAGUGUGGCUAAUACGGGAUAUUCUGGGUCUGUCGCAUGAUGGGUCUGGGAAAGAUAUUGUUUCGGUGGGGGAUGGGCUCGCGGCCUAUCAGCUUGUUGGUGGGGUGAUGGCCUACCAAGGCGGUGACGGGUAGCCGGCCUGGGAGGGUGGACGGUCACAAUGGGACUGCGACACGGCCAAGACUCCUACGGGAGGCAGCAGUGGGGAAUAUUGCACAAUGGGCGCAAGCCUGAUGCAGCGACGCCGCGUGAGGGAUGGAGGCCUUCGGGUUGUGAACCUCUUUCGCCAGUGAAGCAGGCCUGCCUCGUUUGUGGGUGGGUUGACGGUAGCUGGAUAAGAAGCGCCGGCUAACUACGUG
rnacentral:rRNA from 1 species